UACGUAGGGUCCGAGCGUUGUCCGGAAUUACUGGGCGUAAAGAGCUCGUAGGUGGUUUUGUCGCGUUGUUCGUGAAAAACCGGGGGGCUUAACCCCUCGGCGUGCGGGGCGAUACGGGCAGACUGGAGUACUGCAGGGGGAGACUGGAAUUCCUGGUGUAGCGGUGGAAUGCGCAGAUAUCAGGAGGAACACCGGUGGCGAAGGCGGGUCUCUGGGCAGUAACUGACGCUGAGGAGCGAAAGCGUGGGGAGCGAACAGG
rnacentral:rRNA from 1 species